UCAGCUCGUGUCGUGAGAUGUUGGUUAAGUCCGCAACGAGCGCAACCCUCGACCUUAGUUGCCAGCAUUCAGUUGGGCACUCUAAGGUGACUGCCGGCUAAAAGUCGGAGGAAGGUGGGGGAUGACGUCAAAUCAUCAUGCCCCUUAUGACCUGGGCUACACACGUGCUACAAUGGGCGGUACAAAGGGUCGCGAACCCGCGAGGGGGAGCCAAUCCCAAAAAGCCGCUCUCAGUUCGGAUUGCAGGCUGCAACUCGCCUGCAUGAAGCCGGAAUCGCUAGUAAUCGCGGAUCAGCAUGCCGCGGUGAAUACGUUCCCGGGCCUU
rnacentral:rRNA from 1 species